UACGUAGGGGGCAAGCGUUGUCCGGAAUCAUUGGGCGUAAAGCGCGCGUCGGCGGUCAGGUAAGUCCGGUGUGAAAGUCAAAGGCUCAACCUUUGAAUGCCGCUGGAUACUGCUUGACUUGAGUCCGGAAGGGGCGAGUGGAAUUCCUGGUGUAGCGGUGAAAUGCGCAGAUAUCAGGAGGAACACCAAUGGCGAAGGCAGCUCGCUGGAACGGUACUGACGCUGAGGCGCGAAAGCGUGGGGAGCGAACAGG
rnacentral:rRNA from 1 species